rnacentral:lncRNA from 1 species
AAAAAUACCAAAUAACCCGUCAGCAAAAGAAUAAGCUUGUCACCAGAAACAGGAUUUCAAAGCCUGUGAAAGCCAUCAUUCCCACACUGCAACACAGGCAAGGCCACUGCUGGCAUUGGAGCUGUGGUAGGAUGAGGGCAGCCGCCACAUUUAGGAAUUGCUUCCUGCUGCCUGACAUAAGCAACCAGUGGGAAGCGCCUGACAAGCCAUCAUUUCUUCUCUCCAUGAAAGACAGCCCUGUUCUGAGCCAUUCACGUCUGGUUUGUCGCUAGAACAAGAAUGUGCUCUUCAAAAUUCUGAGUUCAGCAUUUUGGAAAACUGCCUCUAUGGACACAAGAGUUGGAAGAAAAAAAGUUAUUGCACAAAGACAGUGUCUUCCUCUAUUUCUACAGCAUUAAGGGAGAGUUGCGGGGACUCAAACAGCUGAUUGCCCAAUGCUGCUUUCUCUACAACAUUCAGGUCUCUGCCAGAUUUCCAGCACAUAGACAUGACCAAGCUGUGUUUCUGCAUCAAAUGUCAGCUU